rnacentral:miRNA from 1 species
CACAAAAUAGAAAGCCCGAGA